AGAGAUUUCUAAGGCUACGAAGAAACUUGAACAAGAAAA
rnacentral:sRNA from 1 species